CCGUUAAUAAAGUGGAAAAAAAAAAUUAAAAAAAUAAAAAGAAAAAUCAGCCAACAAGUUGGCGUCUUCUUCAUCUUCUUCAAAUUGCGUUGCAACUGAAAACAAAACCCAGAUUUCAACCAAAUUUUUUUCAGAUUUCGACAACCUUUAUACAAAAUUGACAGUCUGACAUCCAAUCAAACGUCUUGAGGCGUACCCCGAUGAAGCUAGGUGAGUUUUUUGAUUCCCACAAAACAAAGACGGUAAGCCACCCGUCCAACUAUGCUAUCAGUCAGCACAACACGAUGCGGCUAGAAAGCGAACUCUGGAACUGUGAAGAUUGGAUUAUCUAUGGCCAACGAAUUUAAUACAUCAACUAGCUGUCCUUGAAUGGUGCCCCUGCUGUCCUGCAUGAAUAUAAUUCUGCUUUAAUCGGAGAGGUAACCCCUGCCAAUGAUGUUUCACCACCGUCAUACUUGCAUAAUUGGCUGAUGCGCUACGGAUUUCACCGACGUGGGAUAUCAACAUAUUGUUGAGUUGAGGUAUGAGAAACGAAAGCAUUUAAGUCGAUUGGCAUCCUAUUGUAAUAGAUAUAAGAAAAGGCUGUGAAGGUAAGCUCUGUGUUUUCUUCGCUAAAUUUUCAUCGAAACUCUGCAUUCAUACUUUCGUUGAAGAAAAAGAUAACAUUCUUAUAUUCAUCUGAGAUUCUUCCUUUUUUCAGUCUAUGAACAUCUUUUCUCUCCUGGGAGCGAUAAAAAAAAAAAGAGAGAUUACAACAUUCUUCUCACCAUUGUGGAUUACAUGAGAAAUCAUGUGUGUAUUUACAGGUUCAUCUGAACACAAAGUCUGAUUUUUCUGAAUGGUAUGCGACCACAUCCAUA